GUUGGCGCUAUAUAAAUACCAAUGAUAAUAAUAAUAAUAACAGUGUUUGUUUUGUAUUUUUGUUUGAUUUAUCUAAAAAUAUUAAAUGAAGGCCAUAGUCACACUAAAAUACACACUCAUUCAUAUGCUGCACACCUACAUCCGCCGCACAUGCACUCUUAUGUUAAACUUCUGAGAAAUACACACCUAUGGGAAAUAGAUUUAUUUGAAAGUUUUUAGGUAGUUAACAAGACCUUGGACAUGUUGUGCCUACAGGUGCCCGAGAUGUAAACCUGGCUCAGGACAUGACUUUAUUAACAGGGGAAUUUUCCAAGACAAUCAGGAUACUUUGAAGAUUCAGAUAAUUAGAGAAUUUUUCACUCAGAUAUGCGUAAAUUAGCUCAUGUGCAACGUGUGAAACUGAAAACUCUGCAAAUUUCGACUUUCCAAUGUGAUAUCCAUUCAUACCAAAUGUAAAAGCAAAUAAUAUCCUAAAGAAUAGUGACAAAGUUGACUGCAUAAAUUAUAAAGUAGAGAUUUGCAUUGGGGGAAAUUUUGUUUUGGAUCAAUUUUGUGUUGUCUGAAAUUCUUCAAAUAUUGAUUCGGAUUAAUCGAAUUUCAAUUCAGGAAUUUGUUAAUUUGUGGAAUUUCGGGAAGGCCAUUAUUCCAUGUGGACAAUAAAGGAAGGUGAUAGUCAUAGAGUUACCAAGGAAUGUACCAAUAUGGAGUUAUAAUCUAAACUGCUGAAAUAUCAAAAGAAAAGCCCUUUUCUUAAUUUUGAUCUUUUAACAGUUUAGUAAGUAACUUCUUAAUUUUCUAUCCCAGUGUGGGGUUGCCUUAAGGAUACUAAUUAUCAAAUAAGGGAGCUAUCUGCUCCUUAAUUUGGUAUCCUUAAAAAGGGCAGUCCUACAUAAGGAUAUCAAAUUAGGGAGUAAUCCGCUAAAACAGUUGAAAUAUCAAAAUGAAGGAAUGAGCUUUUCUCAAGUUUGAUCUUUCAGCUGAUAAGUAGAUAGCUAGCUAAUUUUCUAUCCUUAUGUGGUAUUGCCAUAAGGAUACUAAUUACCAUACAAAGGGAACUAUGUGCUUAGCAGCUCCCUAAUUUGGUAUCCUUAAAUAAAGCAGUCCCACAUAAUUAUACCAACAGGGAGUUAUCUGCUAAACAGUUGAAAGAUCAAAGUUAAGCAAAUCCCUCAAAGAUUAAAAUUAGGGAAAGAGCUUUUUGUGGCAAACCUAGCCACUUGGGACUGCCUAAGAUAGAAUGGUUGUGCCUAUUUUCUGUUGUGUACUGCGCGCCGGUAUAGUGUGGCGUCUCCGGCUAUGUUUAAUUUAUGCUGUACUGUGUAUGUCUGUUCGAAU